AAAUAAUGGUUAGAUCAGAUGUUCAUUUCUCAAAUAUUAAUUAACCUCAAUGGAAUAAUAAAUUAAAUAUAAAUGAAAUUAUUUCAAAAAUUAAGAUUUGCAAGUAAGAAUUCAAUAUUUUGGAGCUAUCUCCAUUAAAUAUGUUUAAUUUUCGAAUAGAACAAGAUUAUAUUAAGGUUAGGUUCAUUUUUGGAAUUAGGGUUUGUUAUUGGGCUAUAGCAAUAACUCUGUUCUAUUUAUGACUUAUAACUGUAGUUUUAAUUCUUGUAUUAUUCAUCAUUAACACUAAAUUCGUAGUAGUAAACAUAAUUUGAUUAUAUUUUCAUGAUAUUUUAACGGGAAGGAAAAGCAAUGCUGAAAAUCAGACUAAGAUAUUUUUUAUAUGGGAAAUUCGAAGGCUUGCACUCAAAACGUGUUUACAAAUUUGUCAUUAUUAUUUGAUAGAAUGUAUAAUAAAAAACGUUGAUGGGGGCAGUUACAAGUUAAACAUUUAAUUUAUCAGGUUAAUGUUUAUUCUGGAACAGCACAUCUAAAGGACCUAGAGCAACUGUUUCAGGCAAAUUAAAGUUAUUGAUCAAGUUAUGGAAGACACUUCAAUGUUACCAUCGACGAACAUGAAAUCUGAGAAGUCUCGGCUGGAUCCAUCUUGAAUCACAAUCCAUUUAAAAGCAAAUAUGAAACUUGAGCUGACAACUCUUUAAUUGAAAAACGUCAAUUUGAAGAGUACCUGAUGCCUCCAAUGUUAAAGCAGCCAAUGAUUCCAUAUAAAAGUGUUAGGAUGGAAAGUGUCAAUUUCAUUUAUAUUCAAUCCUGAUGUUUCUUUUGUUAAAAAAAUAAAUAAAGUAUUAAAAAUGAAUAUACCAAACCAAGUGACAUUUAUAUUAGUUGGAAUAUCAUUUUAAUAUGGAAUAAAAGUUCCAAAACUGUAGCAUCUUAUUAGUAGAUUUACAUAAAUGAAAGUAAGUGUAUUAAUAAUUCGAAAAUUAUACCAACAGUUUAAUCAACUAUUAAAUCAUCAGGAGAUAAAGCAUGGUGGAAUGUGAUUAUGGAUUAGAUUUUCUGAUUCAUUUAGUAUCAAACUGAAAACAAAAUUUCGAAAUGGAAGAUCUUGGUGCAUUGCUUACUUGUGAUGGACUGUUAUGGAUUUCACUUGAGUGGAUUUUUUUUGCAAAACUACUAGGAAACGUAUAAAUGAUUGGUAUUUUUUUUAUAUUGAUAAAAAUAAUUUCAGAAAUAAAAUAAUGUGACCCUCUGUUAAAUAACAAAAAUUCUUUCAUCUUUUAGUUGUAAACAACUAAUAAAAUCAGGUAUUGAAACUGUUUCUUAAUUUCCACGCAUGUGUCUAAAUCAAACGGCAAAACGUCGGAGCAAACGGUGGAAAUGAGUUGUCGAGGUGUCGAAAUUUGCUUAGGGGUAUCGUAAGAUACCAAAAUUUCAUCCCCUAUGACUAUUCGAAAUAUACCUCUGUGUGUGGAUGUACCUCGUAUGAAGGAAAUUCUAAAAUCAGUUAUUAAAAUUUUUUAUUCAAAUUUUUCUGAAAUUUUCGGUCCGAAUUAUUGCAUCAAAUUUUGAUUGAAAUGAUUUUUUUUGUUAUUUAUUGAGUGAGCAGAACUUUGAUCAUUUGCUGUUGGUUUUUGUACUUUUGUGAAUUCUAGGAAUAUUUUAUUGAGAUUAAUAUAGUUACAGAUAUUAAUUAAUGAAGAAAAAUAGUUUGAAUUAAUUUUUGAAUAACAUUUUUAACAUUCAGAAAGUUUUAACAAACAUUCAAUUAAACUCACAAAACAAUGUUUUCAAAAUCUUAUCUGGUUAUCGAGAAUUUACAAGAGGUAUGAUAUAUUUGAAAAACAACACGUGCGGUGCUGAUCUAGAACACUUUUUAUCAGUUUGUAGGUAGAAUAGUUUGUUUACAUUAUAUCGAGGGUUUAAUACAGAUAAAGAAAAAUGACCAUGCAUUCCCUUCUUGGAUGCCUUUGUCUUUGUUCGAAGAAUUAUGUGUUUACAUUUCAAUCUUAUUUUUGGCAUUUAUGAGAUUAUGUUUAACAGAAUUCUUAAAUAGAUAAGGACCACCCUACACUAUGAGAAAUUUUAAAAUCACUGUAUUCUAGAUGAAUAAUCAAUGGUAAUACUAAAAUAACUAUACAUGUUGAGGGUUUAUUACUGAU